rnacentral:rRNA from 1 species
AGACCUGGCGGCAGCCUACACAUGCAAGUCGGACGGUAGCACAGAGAGCUUGCUCUCGGGUGACGAGUGGCGGACGGGUGAGUAAUGUCUGGGGAUCUGCCCGAUAGAGGGGGAUAACCACUGGAAACGGUGGCUAAUACCGCAUAACGUCGCAAGACCAAAGAGGGGGACCUUCGGGCCUCUCACUAUCGGAUGAACCCAGAUGGGAUUAGGUAGUAGGCGGGGUAAUGGCCCACCUAGGCGACGAUCCCUAGCUGGUCUGAGAGGAUGACCAGCCACACUGGAACUGAGACACGGUCCAGACUCCUACGGGAGGCAGCAGUGGGGAAUAUUGCACAAUGGGCGCAAGCCUGAUGCAGCCAUGCCGCGUGUAUGAAGAAGGCCUUCGGGUUGUAAAGUACUUUCAGCGGGGAGGAAGGCGAUGCGGUUAAUAACCGCGUCGAUUGACGUUACCCGCAGAAGAAGCACCGGCUAACUCCGUGCCAGCAGCCGCGGUAAU